rnacentral:rRNA from 1 species
GAUGAACGCUGGCGGCGUGCCUAAUACAUGCAAGUCGAGCGAACAGACGAGGAGCUUGCUCCUCUGACGUUAGGGGCGGACGGGUGAGUAACACGUGGAUAACCUACCUAUAAGACUGGGAUAACUUCGGGAAACCGGAGCUAAUACCGGAUAAUAUAUUGAACCGCAUGGUUCAAUAGUGAAAGACGGUUUUGCUGUCACUUAUAGAUGGAUCCGCGCCGCAUUAGCUAGUUGGUAAGGUAACGGCUUACCAAGGCGACGAUGCGUAGCCGACCUGAGAGGGUGAUCGGCCACACUGGAACUGAGACACGGUCCAGACUCCUACGGGAGGCAGCAGUAGGGAAUCUUCCGCAAUGGGCGAAAGCCUGACGGAGCAACGCCGCGUGAGUGAUGAAGGUCUUCGGAUCGUAAAACUCUGUUAUUAGGGAAGAACAAAUGUGUAAGUAACUAUGCACGUCUUGACGGUACCUAAUCAGAAAGCCACGGCUAACUACGUG